ACCCUAGCAUGUGCCCACUUGAGAAGCGCCCACAGUCAGUACCGGUGACCACGUAGGUCACUCUGCACAGCCCAGACUUCAUCCAGGACCGUCAGGUUCUGUCCUGGGAGUUCGGGGUGGGAACAGAAGAGAAGCAGGGGGCACGGGGCUGGGUCUGGCCUCUGUGGGGAGACAGACACCCCAAGUUUAGGUCCGUGUGGGUCACGUCACCUCCCCACCCCCAGCUUUGCAAAGAGACCGUGGAGUCCUUGGGGCAGCGCUGGCCUGGUCCCCAUCCCGAGACAGCGGCAGUCACCUGAUGCCUCUGACAGCCUGGGGGAGACGGGUAGAGAAACCAAGCGUGGGGGAGCACAAGGGGUGGGGCUUCCCUGGAACCUGGGAGGGCAAGACACGCCUUCUUGCACUUAGCCCACAUCUGAGGUGCACGAAUGUCCAGCCCACCAACCUCCCCAGACUGCGGGUGACAACCUGAGGGUCACCGUGUGCCCACCCAGGUGAGCAUCGGCAGCGGGGCCAGCAGGACAGGCCCGGGGCACCUCCCUCCCCAACUGCGCCCCCUGCCUUGGUCGCCCUGUGACCCCCGCAGCCCGGGCUCUGGGGUCCCCGGAGGACCUGUGGCCAGGUCCCCACGCCACGGAGCCUGUAAGACGCGGCCGCCAUCUCCCCCUGAACAGCAACCACCUCAGCGCCUGUCAGUGCUUUUGGGUGUGAUUUCAGAAGAUUCCAGAAGGUGGUGCUAGAAGCCAAGGAGUGGCACCCGGCGGGUCCUCCGCGUCCCAGCUGAGCUGCGGGCUCCUCGUGGCUGUCAGCUGCGCUGGGAUGUCCAGGUUCAAGGACUGAAGAAGCCCCACCGUGGCCAGGCCAUCUGUAUACAUACAGCGCCUAUCUUGCCUGAAUGGGAGCCACGGACCCCUUCGUGGUAGACACAGAAUUCCCCAGAAUCCGUGUCAGGCCACUGGAAAGAAGCCAGGGGUGCCGAGCAGUUCUCAGCUCCCUCUGGGGUCCACCUGCGCUCCAGGUGACCCCGCGGCCCCAGGGGUGCUCUGCACACACGGGUGACUACACCAGCUGCGGUCCGCCAGCGGCCCCCUGAAGGCCUCCCCUCCUGUCCGCCCA
rnacentral:lncRNA from 12 species